rnacentral:rRNA from 1 species
CCCUUAGAUGUUCUGGGCCACACGCGCGCUACACUGACAGAGCCAGCGAGUUUUUUUCCUUGGCCGGAAGGUCUGGGUAAUCUUGUGAAACUCUGUCGUGCUGGGGAUAGAGCAUUGCAAUUAUUGCUCUUCAACGAGGAAUACCUAGUAAGCGUGAGUCAUCAGCUCGCGUUGAUUACGUCCCUGCCCUUUGUACACACCGCCCGUCACUACUACCGAUUGAAUGGCUUAGUGAGGUCUUGGGAUUGGCUUCGGGGAGCCGGCAACGGCACCCUGUUGCUGAGAACUUGAUCAAACUUGGUCAUUUAGAGGAAGUAAAAGUCGUAACA